AUUGAACGCUGGCGGCAGGCCUAACACAUGCAAGUCGAACGAGUGGCGGACGGGUGAGUAAUGUCUGGGAAACUGCCUGCUGGAGGGGGAUAACUACUGGAAACGGUAGCUAAUACCGCAUACCAUCGGAUGUGCCCAGAUGGGCUUAGCUAGUCGGUGGGGUAACGGCUCACCUAGGCGACGAUCCCUAGCUGGUCUUAGAGGAUGACCAGCCACACUGGAACGGAGACACGGUCAAGACUCCUACGGGAGGCAGCAGUGGGGAAUAUUGCACAAUGGGCGCAAGCCUGAUGCAGCCAUGCCGCGUGUAUGAAGAAGGCCUUCGGGUUGUAAAGUACUUUCAGCGGGGAGGCGUUACUCGCAGAAGAAGCACCGGCUAACUCCGUGCCAGCAGCCGCGGUAAUAC
rnacentral:rRNA from 1 species